UACAGAGGUCCCAAGCGUUGUUCGGAUUCACUGGGCGUAAAGGGCGCGUAGGCGGGAAGGUAAGUCAGUGGUGAAAUCUCACGGCUCAACCGUGAAACUGCCGUUGAUACUGCUUUUCUUGAGUUUGGGAGAGGUCGAUGGAAUUCCAGGUGUAGCGGUGAAAUGCGUAGAUAUCAGGAGGAACACCGAUUGCGAAGGCAGCUCGCUGGGACGUUACUGACGCUGAGACGCGAAAGCGUGGGGAGCAAACAGG
rnacentral:rRNA from 1 species